rnacentral:rRNA from 1 species
UCGGGAAUUUUGGGCAAUGGGCGAAAGCCUGACCCAGCAACGCCGCGUGAAGGAUGAAGUAUUUCGGUAUGUAAACUUCGAAAGAAUGGGAAGAAUCAAUGACGGUACCAUUUAUAAGGUCCGGCUAACUACGUGCCAGCAGCCGCGGUAAUACGUAGGGACCAAGCGUUGUUCGGAUUUACUGGGCGUAAAGGGCGCGUAGGCGGCUUUGUAAGUCACUUGUGAAAUCUCCGGGCUUAACUCGGAACGGCCAAGUGAUACUGCAAAGCUAGAGUGCAGAAGGGGCAAUCGGAAUUCUUGGUGUAGCGGUGAAAUGCGUAGAUAUCAAGAGGAACACCUGAGGUGAAGACGGGUUGCUGGGCUGACACUGACGCUGAGGCGCGAAAGCGUGGGGAGCAAACAGGAUUAGAUACCCACGUAGUCCCUGAGCGGGCUGGCAAGGCGCAU